rnacentral:lncRNA from 1 species
GCCUUUUGUAAUUCAAUCAUUAUACAACAUAUUCUUUUCUCAUUUACCAGCCUACUAGUAUCCAUGGGGGUCCCUAGGGGUCCCGCUACCCGUUAACCUUUAACAUUCAUAAUCAGUUUCCAGGGCCGUCCCCAUACCCCGUCCGGUAUGGGCGCCAAAACCAUAAACCUCAAUACCCCGUCCGGUAUGAGGGUGAAACGGGCCGUC